rnacentral:rRNA from 1 species
UACGUAGGGUGCAAGCGUUGUCCGGAAUUAUUGGGCGUAAAGAGCUCGUAGGCGGUCUGUCGCGUCUGCUGUGAAAUCUCAGGGCUUAACCCUGAGCUUGCAGUGGGUACGGGCAGACUAGAGUGCGGUAGGGGAGGCUGGAAUUCCUGGUGUAGCGGUGAAAUGCGCAGAUAUCAGGAGGAACACCGGUGGCGAAGGCGGGUCUCUGGGCCGUAACUGACGCUGAGGAGCGAAAGCAUGGGGAGCGAACAGG